GUGAAUCAUCAAAUUUUUGAACGCAAAUUGCGCUUCUUGGCAUCCCGGGAAGCAUGCCUGUUUGAGGGUCAGUAUUAACCAAAACUCGGGUUGGUUGCAAAUUGUGACGUUUCUGGAGUUUGGGCUAUUUUCACUUUUUUGGUUAAGGGGCUUAAAAUUGACCUUUUUUGCGCAUUUUUAGACGUACAUAAAUUUUUUUUUUAUUCGUUUCUUUUUAAUGCUAAUAUCUU
rnacentral:misc_RNA from 1 species